rnacentral:tRNA from 1 species
GCGAUGGUAGUUCAAUGGUAGAAUGCCUCCCUUCCAAGGAGGAGGUUGAGGGUUCAAAUCCCUUCCAUCGCUCCA